GUGGGGAAUAUUGGACAAUGGGCGCAAGCCUGAUCCAGCCAUGCCGCGUGAGUGAUGAAGGCCUUAGGGUUGUAAAGCUCUUUCAGUAGGGAAGAUAAUGACGGUACCUACAGAAGAAGCCCCGGCUAACUUCGUGCCAGCAGCCGCGGUAAUACGAAGGGGGCUAGCGUUGUUCGGAUUUACUGGGCGUAAAGCGCACGUAGGCGGAAUGUUAUGUCAGAGGUGAAAUCCUGGAGCUCAACUCCAGAACUGCCUUUGAUACUGGCAAUCUCGAGUCCGGAAGAGGUGAGUGGAACUCCUAGUGUAGAGGUGGAAUUCGUAGAUAUUAGGAAGAACACCAGUGGCGAAGGCGGCUCACUGGUCCGGUACUGACGCUGAGGUGCGAAAGCGUGGGGAGCAAACAGGAUUAGAAACCCUUGUAGUCC
rnacentral:rRNA from 1 species